AGGAUGAACGCUAGCUACAGGCUUAACACAUGCAAGUCGAGGGGCAGCAUGGUCUUAGCUUGCUAAGGCCGAUGGCGACCGGCGCACGGGUGAGUAACACGUAUCCAACCUGCCGUCUACUCUUGGACAGCCUUCUGAAAGGAAGAUUAAUACAAGAUGGCAUCAUGAGUCCACAUGUUCACAUGAUUAAAGGUAUUCCGGUAGACGAUGGGGAUGCGUUCCAUUAGAUAGUAGGCGGGGUAACGGCCCACCUAGUCUUCGAUGGAUAGGGGUUCUGAGAGGAAGGUCCCCCACAUUGGAACUGAGACACGGUCCAAACUCCUACGGGAGGCAGCAGUGAGGAAUAUUGGUCAAUGGGCGAGAGCCUGAACCAGCCAAGUAGCGUGAAGGAUGACUGCCCUAUGGGUUGUAAACUUCUUUUAUAAAGGAAUAAAGUCGGGUAUGCAUACCCGUUUGCAUGUACUUUAUGAAUAAGGAUCGGCUAACUCCGUGCCAGCAGCCGCGGUAAUACGGAGGAUCCGAGCGUUAUCCGGAUUUAUUGGAUUUAAAGGGAGCGUAGAUGGAUGUUUAAGUCAGUUGUGAAAGUUUGCGGCUCAACCGUAAAAUUGCAGUUGAUACUGGAUAUCUUGAGUGCAGUUGAGGCAGGCGGAAUUCGUGGUGUAGCGGUGAAAUGCUUAGAUAUCACGAAGAACUCCGAUUGCGAAGGCAGCCUGCUAAGCUGCAACUGACAUUGAGGCUCGAAAGUGUGGGUAUCAAACAGGAUUAGAUACCCUGGUAGUCCACACGGUAAACGAUGAAUACUCGCUGUUUGCGAUAUACAGCAAGCGGCCAAGCGAAAGCGUUAAGUAUUCCACCUGGGGAGUACGCCGGCAACGGUGAAACUCAAAGGAAUUGACGGGGGCCCGCACAAGCGGAGGAACAUGUGGUUUAAUUCGAUGAUACGCGAGGAACCUUACCCGGGCUUAAAUUGCAGAUGAAUUACGGUGAAAGCCGUAAGCCGCAAGGCAUCUGUGAAGGUGCUGCAUGGUUGUCGUCAGCUCGUGCCGUGAGGUGUCGGCUUAAGUGCCAUAACGAGCGCAACCCUUGUUGUCAGUUACUAACAGGUUCUGCUGAGGACUCUGACAAGACUGCCAUCGUAAGAUGUGAGGAAGGUGGGGAUGACGUCAAAUCAGCACGGCCCUUACGUCCGGGGCUACACACGUGUUACAAUGGGGGGUACAGAGGGCCGCUACCACGCGAGUGGAUGCCAAUCCCAAAAACCUCUCUCAGUUCGGACUGGAGUCUGCAACCCGACUCCACGAAGCUGGAUUCGCUAGUAAUCGCGCAUCAGCCACGGCGCGGUGAAUACGUUCCCGGGCCUUGUACACACCGCCCGUCAAGCCAUGGGAGCCGGGGGUACCUGAAGUGCGUAACCGCGAGGAGCGCCCUAGGGU
rnacentral:rRNA from 1 species